rnacentral:lncRNA from 1 species
GUUGCUUAGAUUUUAAUUGUGUCAUUUGCUUUAUACGCUUUGUAGUUUUAUUCUAAUUAUCUUUUUCUAAAUGUGGAAGCUAAGAACUUAAAGAAUUUUGAAAAUUGAACUAUUUUAGGGCUUUUUUUUCUCCAUCACUUGCAGUUUGAAGUGGUGAGAAAGGAUGAAUAUAUAACCAUUGAAAACUUAGGAGCAAGUUACAAGAAUUUGAUGUCUAUGGAAUUAACUGAUACUGAUAUUAGACCGAAAUUCAAUUUAAAAUCAGAUCCAAAAGGAAUUACUCUACAGUCAAUAACAGGCAGUCAGCGUAUAGAAGUAGAAGACUUACAGAAUGAUGAAGAAGAAUUGAGUCCACCUGUGAUGGAAUACAAUAUAGAUGUGAAAUCAAACACUGAAAUACAGUUAGCAGAAAUAAAUAAAGAUGUAGCCUCAAUACCGAGUGAAUCUUCAACCGAAUCUGUUAAAGAUCUUCAGGAGGUCAAAAGUAAAACAAAGAAAAAGAAAAGAACUAAGAGUAAUAGAAAGGUAAGACCCUGCACUGGCAUUACAACAGAGAUGUCUGACCAUUACUACCUGAGGCUUACUGCAUCUUCACAGAUAAAACUCAAAUUCAUCCUCAGGGACAUACAAGUUACUCAAAAAAGUUAUGGAAUGUAUAUAUAUAUAAAAUAUCUAUGUAUUUUAUAUAUUGAACAAUCUUAAAUUAGUCAUUUGAUAAUUUCAUUAAUUUCUGCAUUUCACACCCACUU